rnacentral:rRNA from 1 species
UUAAAUUGAAGAGUUUGAUCAUGGCUCAGAUUGAACGCUGGCGGCAGGCCUAACACAUGCAAGUCGAGCGGAAACGAGUUAUCAGAACCUUCGGGGAACGAUAACGGCGUCGAGCGGCGGACGGGUG